rnacentral:rRNA from 1 species
AUUGAACGCUGGCGGCAGGCCUAACACAUGCAAGUCGAGCGAGCGGCGGACGGGUGAGUAAUGUAUGGGGAUCUGCCCGAUAGAGGGGGAUAACUACUGGAAACGGUGGAUAAUACCACAUACUAUCGGAUGAACCCAUAUGGGAUUAGCUAGUCGGUGGGGUAAAGGCUCACCUAGGCGACGAUCCCUAGCGGGUCUGAGAGGAUGAUCAGCCACACUGGGACUGAGACACGGCCCAGACUCCUACGGGAGGCAGCAGUGGGGAAUAUUGCACAAGGGGCGCAAGCCUGAUGCAGCCAUGCCGCGUGUGUGAAGAAGGCCUUCGGGUGGUAAAGCACUUUCAGCGAUGAGGCGUUACUCGCAGAAGAAGCACCGACUAACUCCGUGCCAGCAGCCGCGGUAAUAC